rnacentral:lncRNA from 1 species
UUUUUUUUUUUUUUUUUUGGUUUUGAGACACGAUCUUGCUACACAGCCUAACUGGUCUUUGAACUCGAUGUCCAGGCACCUUGGCCUCCAGAGUGCUGGGAUCACAGAAGCGUGCCCCAUGCUCAGGGCUGCUGCUGGUUCUCUUCUUCAUGUCUGAGUGCUGUCUGCCAGAGGAGGGCAUCAGAUCCCAUUGCAGAUGGUUGUGAGCCACCAUGUGGUGAUUGCUGGGAAUUGAACUCAGGACCUGGAAGAAUAGCUAGUACUCUUAACGCCUGAGCUAUCUCUCCAUUCCCUUGGGCUUCUUUUUAAGAUGGUGGCACUAAGGCCGGCAAUGAUUAGAAGUGCCUGCUGCUGAGUCCCUGCCCUACUUAACAGACGUCCUAGCAAUAGGUGUCAUUCUGCUUAUUCUUAGUACUUUCCAGGGGAGUUUAGGUUUUAAUAAGUAUCUUUCAAAUACUUGAAAAUAAUACGAAGUAAACAUUACCUUAAGUGCUUCUUCAUAUUCUCCUAAAGGGACAAAAACAAAACAGUGGGAUUUUUGGUUUUUGUUUUUGAUCAGUUUUACAAUUACACUGAAUAUCAUCUACCCUACAAUUUUUUGCUUUUU